CUACUGAGCAGAGAAAGUGCUGUCCCGCAGGAGCCUGUCUCCCUCCAGCCUCAUGGCUGCUGUUUUCUGCAGCCUCUGUGCACAGACAGCCUCUACUAGUGGGUGUUGUCACGGAGGAGAGGCAGCCCCGUGGGCUUCGGGGAGCUGGGUGCACCUCUCCUCUCACUCGGCCGCUGCGACAUAGGGCAUGUCCUGUUCUUUUCUUGUAGCCUAGUCUCCUCUGGGCAUGAUGGAGCCUUAACAAGCUGCCGCGAGUUUCCAGGAACCCCAGUCUGUGAACACUAGCCGUGUGUGUGGCACGCAGACAAGUUCAUUCUACAGGCAGCUGUGGCUUCUGUCAUUCUUCUUGUAUUUUUAGUCUUGGUUAUGGCAGCCUGCGCUGUAAGUUGUUUAAACUCAACUUUAUGUGAGCUAAAGGUGAAGAGAGCUUCACUGGAGGAGUCAUCAAAAUACAUUCUCAGGACCAUUUUUUCUUCAAUUUUUCUUUUUGACAUCCUUCCAGACUGGGCUUCCCAGAUGAUUCUGACGCACAGCCUCGGCCACCUGCCCUCCCAUGUGCCGAAGUCCUUCUGUGGCAGGGGCCCUAGAGCUCCUGCCCUGGUGUCUUUGGGAACUGGAGUCCCCUGAGCCUUUGGCAAUCGUAGCUUAGGAUGAGAAGGAUGGGUAGGGAGAGUGACUGCCUGUGUUGGGGAGGCUGAGUGGCCCCAAGGCUUGGAAAUGGGAUGGGUGGAAGCAGAUGUGGGGAAGGGCUGGUCCCGGCUGAGGCAUUCACUCACUGUGUCUGCUUCAGUCUCAGGGGCAUUGGGUUGAAUCUUUGAGUGCCGGGAGUCUGUUCUGGUCUGCUGGGAGAGCUGCUUUUGGAGUUCCUGGUGUCUUAUUUCAUGAGGUCGUGGCAAGAUGGUGAAGUAGCAGCAGUGCAUAGGGUGUGAGGAUGGUCCGUGCCAGGGGAGUGCUGCCGGGCCGCAGCUGUGGACGUGGUAGUGGUGUGUGUCAUGUUGGAAGGUGUGUUUGUUCAGACACACUAGUCCUGGGGGCUGCUGGGCACAUCACUGGCGACAUGUCCAAUGGGGUGAGGCAGCGGUCUCGGGUGUUCAGAGUCGAGUGCCCCAGAUGGUGGGGUCUGCCUGGCGUCCACGCAAGCAGGUGUGUGACCAGGGAGGGGCCCAUGCACGGUGCCUCCUCCUCGUGCACUUGCCAGUGCCGCGUAUCCCCGACUGUGUGCUUCCUGCUGCGGCAGCGGCCUCACGCUUGCUUGCUUCCUCCUCUCCAGGUCAAACGAUCAAGGAGCAAAGGCGGGCUGGCCGGCCCUGACGGCACCAAGUCUGUCUUUGGGCAGAUGUGUGCUAAGAUGAGCUCGUUUGGUCCCGACAGCCUCCUCCUUCCUCACCGUGUCUGGAAAGUCAAGUUUGUGGGUGAGAACUUGCCGCGCGCUGGAGCACCUGUGUCCCCGGCAGUGGUCGCCUGAGCCCACAGGGAGCACAGAGGCCACAUGGUGUGGGAGCGUUGGGGCUCUUCACACAGGCCUGUGUGAGGGGACUUCGAGUGGCUGCUUCUCCCCUGCAGGUGAAUCUGUGGAUGACUGUGGGGGCGGCUACAGCGAGUCCAUAGCUGAGAUCUGUGAGGAGCUGCAGAACGGACUCACGCCCCUGCUGAUCGUGACACCCAACGGGAGGGAUGAGUCUGGGGCCAACCGAGACUGCUACCUGCUCAGCCCGGCCGCCAGAGCACCCGUGCACAGCAGCAUGUUCCGCUUCCUGGGUGUGUUGCUGGGCAUUGCCAUCCGAACCGGGAGUCCCCUGAGCCUCAACCUUGCCGAGCCUGUCUGGAAGCAGCUGGCUGGGAUGAGCCUCACCAUCGCGGACCUCAGUGAGGUAACUCCCUGGGGCGGCAGGCGGGGCCUCUGGGGUCUUGUUAACAGGCACAGUCUGUUCUGCGUGUCCGGUCAGGCUGUGAACUCUGGCCUAACUCAGUGCCCAGGUGACGCAGAGGCUGCUGGCUGUGGACCACCUUUGAGAAGC
rnacentral:sRNA from 1 species